CGAAAAGCGUGGCAUUGCUGGUUGUAAAGGCUGUUCAUGUGACCAGUCGGCGAUCGGUUUGUCUGCUGUGGCGUUAAUGGAGGAGUGUUCGAUUCGCGGUAUGGUUGGCUUCGGCUGAACAGACGCUUAUUGGUCAUUCUUCUUGCUGUGGCGGUAUAACUGAUGAACCGUAGUCGUGUGUGACUUACCUUUUGAAUCGGCGUUGCUGUGCGAAGUAGAGUGACAGUUUCGGCUGUCGAGGGUCGACCCAUUUGGGAAAUUGUGCGGUGCGGCUUCGGUCGCGCGGCAUCUCAAUUGGACCUGAUAUCAGGCACGAUUACCCGCUGAACUUAAGCAUAUCAAUAAGCGGAGGA
rnacentral:rRNA from 1 species